UUAAAUUGAAGAGUUUGAUCAUGGCUCAGAUUGAACGCUGGCGGCAGGCCUAACAAAUGCAAGUCGAACG
rnacentral:rRNA from 1 species